AUGCAGUUGAUCUCGGGGGGCCACACUGCGAUCUCUGUUAAUGGUCAAGUCAGCAACUUCUUCGCCAACGGCAGGGGCCUGCGGCAGGGUGACCCAUCCUCUCCAAUCAUGUUCAACUUCGUCGCUGAUGCUCUCUCUCGCAUCUUGUCUAGAGCUGCCUCCCAUGGUCACAUUUCCCCUAUCAUCUCGCACCUCAUCCCAGAUGGAGUCACCCAUCUUCAAUAUGCCGAUGACACUAUCAUUAUGGUCGAGCUUAACGAUACUUGCAUUGCUCACCUUAAGUUCAUUCUACUCUGUUUUGAGGCUUUGUCGGGGCUCAAAAUUAACUUCUCAAAGAGCGAAGUCAUUAUUACUGGCGUAGAUGACAUUGAGGCUCUGAGGGUGGCCCGUGUUCUCAACUGUAAGCUUGGGUCCUUCCCUUUCAAAUAUCUGGGCCUUCCUAUUUGGCCGGAUGUGUUACACGCGAAAGAAUUCACUCUUGUUGUCGCUAAGGUUGGCAAUAGGGUGCUCCCCUGGUGUCACAUCCUAGCUAGUUCAUGCAUUAGAGUGUUGCAUCAUGUCUACUUUUCACAGAAACUUGAAAUGGGGAUGCCAGAAACCCCCAGCACCCCCCCUGAACACAACUAG
rnacentral:rRNA from 1 species